rnacentral:rRNA from 1 species
AGUGAACGCUGGCGGUAGGCCUAAUACAUGCAAGUCGAACGGCCGCACAGUAAGAGCUUGCUCUUACGGGUGGCGAGUGGCGGACGGGUGAGGAAUACAUCGGCAUCUACUUUUUCUUGGGGGAUUUCGUAGGGCAACUUCCGCUAAUACCGCAUAUGACCUACGGGUGAAAGCAGUGGUUCAUCGCACUUUUCGCGUUUGAUUGAGCUGAUGUCGGAUUACCUAGUUGGCGUGGUAAAGGCCCACCAAGGCGACGAUCCGUAGCUGGUCUGAGAGGAUGAGCAGCCCCACUGGAACUGAGACACGGUGCAGACUCCUACGGGAGGCAGCGGUGGGGAAAAUUGGACAAUGGGCGCAAGCCUUGUCCAGCCAUACCGCGUGGGUGAAUAAGGCCUUUGGGUUGUUAAACCCCUGUGUUGAGAAAGAAAAGCAUCAGGUAGAUACCCCGCUGGUCUGACGGGACCCAAAGAAGAAGCACCGGCUAACUUCGGU